CCUACGGGGGGCAGCAGUGGGGAAUAUUGGACAAUGGGCGAAAGCCUGAUCCAGCCAUGCCGCGUGUGUGAAGAAGGCCUUCGGGUUGUAAAGCACUUUCAGUGGGGAAGAAAGCCUUGGGGCUAAUACCCUCGAGGAAGGACAUCACCCACAGAAGAAGCUCCGGCUAACUCCGUGCCAGCAGCCGCGGUAAUACGGAGGGUGCGAGCGUUAAUCGGAAUUACUGGGCGUAAAGCGCGCGUAGGCGGUCUGAUAAGCCGGUUGUGAAAGCCCCGGGCUCAACCUGGGAACGGCAUCCGGAACUGUCAGGCUAGAGUGCAGGAGAGGAAGGUAGAAUUCCCGGUGUAGCGGUGAAAUGCGUAGAGAUCGGGAGGAAUACCAGUGGCGAAGGCGGCCUUCUGGACUGACACUGACGCUGAGGUGCGAAAGCGUGGGUAGCAAACAGGAUUAGAUACCCCGGUAGUC
rnacentral:rRNA from 1 species